GUCUUAAUCAUAAAUCACUAUGCAGUGAAAUUAUGCACCAGCUGUUCUACUGCAAUCUAGCAAUCAAUGAGUUUUUUUAGAAUCAAAAAUUUUAUAUCAAUGGCCCACACCCAGGCCAUUAACAAUGUCGAAUCUCUCCCCCCCCCCUCAUGUAACAGCUAGAACAACAAAACAACAAGUACAUGUCGUACAUCACAGUAUGUCAGAAUAUUUUACAUUCAAAAUUUAAAAUGUUAAAUUAUUUUUGAAUGGGAGGCUAUACAUGCCAUAAUCCCUGAUUAACC